rnacentral:pre_miRNA from 1 species
AUAAUACUCCCUCCGUCCGGAAAUACUUGUCAUCAAAAUGAAUAAAAGGGGAUGUAUCUAGAUGUACUUUAGUUCUAGAUACAUCCAUUUUUGUCCAUUUUGAUGACAAGUAUUUUCGGACGGAGGGAGUAGCAU